rnacentral:rRNA from 1 species
UACAGAGGUCUCAAGCGUUGUUCGGAUUCAUUGGGCGUAAAGGGUGCGUAGGUGGCGCGCUAAGUCAGGUGUGAAAUCUCGGAGCUUAACUCCGAAAACUGCAUUUGAUACUGGCGUGCUUGAGGACUGGAGAGGAGAGCUGGAAUUCACGGUGUAGCAGUGAAAUGCGUAGAUAUCGUGAGGAAGACCAGUGGCGAAGGCGGGUCUCUGGACAGUUCCUGACACUGAGGCACGAAGGCCAGGGGGAGCAAAACGGG